rnacentral:rRNA from 1 species
UAGGGAAUAUUGCGCAAUGGACGAAAGUCUGACGCAGCCACGCCGCGUGAGUGAGGAAGGCCUUCGGGUUGUAAAGCUCUGUCGACAGGGAAAAACAGGUGAGAGGGGAAAGUUCUCUCACUUUGAUGGUACCUGUGGAGGAAGCACCGGCAAACUCUGUGCCAGCAGCCGCGGUAAUACAGAGGGUGCAAGCGUUGUUCGGAAUUACUGGGCGUAAAGCGUGCGUAGUCGGUAUUGAGAGUCACGGGUGAAAUCCCCAAGCUUAACUUGGGAACUGCCUGUGAGACCUCAGUACUAGAGUGUGAGAGGGGAUAGUGGAAUACCCAGUGUAGCGGUGAAAUGCGUAGAGAUUGGGUAGAACACCGGUGGCGAAGGCGGCUAUCUGGCUCACAACUGACGAUCAGGCACGAAAGCGUGGGGAGCAAACAGG